UACAGAGGUCUCAAGCGUUUGUUCGGAUUCAUUGGGCGUAAAGGGUGUGUAGGUGGCGCGUAAGUCGGGUGUGAAAUCUCGGAGCUUAACUCCGAAACUGCAUUCGAUACUGCCGUGCUUGAGGACUGGAGAGGAGACUGGAAUUUACGGUGUAGCGGUGAAAUGCGUAGAUAUCGUAAGGAACACCAGUGGCGAAGGCGGCUCACUGGCCCGAUACUGACGCUGAGGCACGAAAGCGUGGGGAGCAAACAGG
rnacentral:rRNA from 1 species